rnacentral:rRNA from 1 species
CCUACGGGUGGCUGCAGUAGGGAAUUUUCCACAAUGGACGAAAGUCUGAUGGAGCAACGCCGCGUGCAGGAUGAAGGGUUUCGGCUCGUAAACUGCUUUUGUCUGUGACGAUUAUGACGGUAGCAGACGAAUAAGGAUCGGCUAACUCCGUGCCAGCAGCCGCGGUCAUACGGAGGAUCCAAGCGUUAUCCGGAAUUACUGGGCGUAAAGAGUUGCGUAGGUGGCAUUGUAAGUCUGUAGUGAAAGCGUGGGGCUCAACCCCAUAUACAUUAUGG